rnacentral:rRNA from 1 species
GCACAAGCAGCGGAGCGUGUGGUUAAUUCGAUGCAACACGAAGAACCUUACCAAGGCUUGACAUGACGGAAGUAGUGACCCGAAAGGUGAGCCACCUGUUAAGUCAGGAGCCGUCACAGGUGCUGCACGGCUGUCGUCAGCUCGUGCCGUGAGGUGUUAGGUUAAGUCCUGCAACGAGCGCAACCCCUGUUGUCAGUUGAUUUCUCUGGCAAGACUGCCUCGAAAACGGGAGGGGAAGGUGGGAUGACGUCAAGUCAGCAUGGCCCUUACGCCUUGGGCUACACACACGCUACAAUGGGUGGUACAAAAGGUGGCAAUAGAGUGAUCUGGAGCUAAUCCCAAAAGCCACCCUCAGUCCGGAUUGCAGGCUGAAACUCGCCUGCAUGAAGUUGGAGUUGCUAGUAACUGCAGGUCAGCAUACUGCGGUGAAUACGUUCUCGGGCCUU